rnacentral:rRNA from 1 species
UACGAAGGGUGCAAGCGUUACUCGGAAUUACUGGGCGUAAAGCGUGCGCAGGCGGUUUUGUAAGCCAGAUGUGAAAUCCCCGGGCUUAACCUGGGAAUGGCAUUUGGGACUGCAAGGCUGGAGUACGGCAGAGGAGACUGGAAUUCCUGGUGUAGCAGUGAAAUGCGUAGAGAUCAGGAGGAAUACCGAUGGCGAAGGCGGCCAUCUGGGACAACACUGACGCUGAAGCACGAAAGCGUGGGGAGCAAACAGG